rnacentral:rRNA from 1 species
CCUACGGGAGGCAGCAGUGAGGAAUAUUGGUCAAUGGGCGCGAGCCCGAACCAGCCAAGUCGCGUGAGGGAAGACGGUCCUUUGGAUUGUAAACCUCUUUUGUCGGGGAGCAAAAGACGCCACGCGUGGCGUUCCGAGAGUACCCGAAGAAAAAGCAUCGGCUAACUCCGUGCCAGCAGCCGCGGUAAUACGGGGGAUGCGAGCGUUAUCCGGAUUUAUUGGGUUUAAAGGGUGCGCAGGCGGAAGAUCAAGUCAGCGGUAAAAGUGAGAGGCUCAACCUCUUCGAGCCGUUGAAACUGGUUUUCUUGAGUGAGCGAGAAGUAUGCGGAAUGCGUGGUGUAGCGGUGAAAUGCAUAGAUAUCACGCAGAACUCCGAUUGCGAAGGCAGCAUACCGGCGCUCAACUGACGCUCAUGCACGAAAGUGUGGGUAUCGAACAGGAUUAGAUACCCUGGUAGUC